UCAACCUAAGGCUCGAGGACUACUCCAUAUGAAAUACGAUUUCAUCGCACUUCCAUAUAAAGACUUGAAGACAAAUAACUCAAAACCAAUGUCAGAAUGAGGCAGGAGUACCUUCUAGCUGCAUGACAGUAUCUGGGUACUCGAAGACUAGCGACAACAGAAGUACUCAACGAGCACUAAAGACUAGUCGAGCAACGUCUGCUGAGUACUCGAAACUGUUUCAUUUGACUACAAAAUACUCAGGGGCUUGUCAACCAUACACCCCCAGGCCCAC
rnacentral:lncRNA from 1 species